rnacentral:rRNA from 1 species
UUGGAGGGCAAGUCUGGUGCCAGCAGCCGCGGUAAUUCCAGCUCCAAUAGCGUAUAUUAAAGUUGUUGCAGUUAAAAAGCUCGUAGUUGAAUUUCGGGGUCAGUAGAUUGGUCAUGCCACUGGUAUGUACUGGUCUCACUGAUUCCUCCUUCCUGAUGAGCCGUAAUGCCAUUAAUUUGGUGUUGCGAGGAAUCUGGACUGUUACUUUGAAAAAAUUAGAGUGUUUAAAGCAGGCUGACGCUUGAAUACAUUAGCAUGGAAUAAUGAAAUAGGACGUUCGAUCUUAUUUUGUUGGUUUCUAAGAUUGACGUAAUGAUUAAUAGGGAUAGUUGGGGGCAUUAGUAUUCAAUUGUCAGAGGUGAAAUUCUUGGAUUUAUUGAAGACUAACUACUGCGAAAGCAUUUGCCAAGGAUGUUUUCAUUAAUCAAGAACGAAAGUUAGGGGAUCGAAGACGAUCAGAUUCCGUCGUAGUCUUAACCAUAAACUAUGCCGACUAGGGAUCGGAUGACGUUAAUUUUUUAAUGACUCAUUCGGCGCCUUACGGGAAACCAAAGUGUUUGGGUUC